CCUACGGGCGGCUGCAGUGGGGAAUAUUGGACAAUGGGCGCAAGCCUGAUCCAGCAAUACCGCGUGUGUGAAGAAGGCCUUAGGGUUGUAAAGCACUUUCAAUGGGGAGGAAAACCUACCGGUCAAUACCCGGUAGCUUGACAUUACCUGUAGCAGAAGCACCGGCUAACUCCGUGCCAGCAGCCGCGGUAAUACGGAGGGUGCAAGCGUUACGUGGAAUUACUGGGCGUGAAGCGUUAGUAGAGGGGGGAAAGCCCCGGGCUUAACCUGGGAACUGCAUUUGAAACUGGCGGACUAGAGUUGAGUAGAGGGGAGUGGAAUUUCAGGUGUAGCGGUGAAAUGCGUAGAUAUCUGAAGGAACACCAGUGGCGAAGGCGACUCCCUGGACUCAAACUGACGCUGAGGUACGAAAGCGUGGGUAGCAAACAGGAUUAGAUACCCUGGUAGUC
rnacentral:rRNA from 1 species